rnacentral:rRNA from 1 species
UCGAGCGGUAUAUACUGGAACGAAACUUCGGUCUAGAGAAGGUAUAGAGAGCGGCGGACGGGUGAGUAACGCGUAGGCAACCUGCCCCAUACAGAGGGAUAGCCUCGGGAAACCGGGAUUAAAACCUCAUAACACGAGAGUUUCACAUGUUACACUCGUCAAAGAUUCAUCGGUAUGGGAUGGGCCUGCGUCUGAUUAGCUAGUUGGUGAGGUAACGGCUCACCAAGGCAACGAUCAGUAGCCGACCUGAGAGGGUAAUCGGCCACAUUGGAACUGAGACACGGUCCAAACUCCUACGGGAGGCAGCAGUGGGGAAUAUUGCACAAUGGGCGAAAGCCUGAUGCAGCAACGCCGCGUGAGCGAUGAAGGCCUUUGGGUCGUAAAGCUCUGUCCUUGGGGAAGAAAAAAAUGACGGUACCCUUGGAGGAAGCCCCGGCUAACUACGUGCCAGCAGCCGCGGUAAUACGUAGGGGGCAAGCGUUAUCCGGAAUUAUUGGGCGUAAAGAGUGCGUAGGUGGUCAUGUAAGCGCAGGGUGAAAGGCAAUAGCUCAACUAUUGUAAGCCUUGCGAACUGCAUGACUUGAGUGCAGGAGAGGAAAGUGGAAUUCCUAGUGUAGCGGUGAAAUGCGUAGAUAUUAGGAGGAACACCAGUGGCGAAGGCGACUUUCUGGACUGUAACUGACACUGAGGCACGAAAGCGUGGGGAGCAAACAGGAUUAGAUACCCUGGUAGUCCACGCCGUAAACGAUGAGCACUAGGUGUCGGGGUCGCAAGACUUCGGUGCCGCAGUUAACGCAUUAAGUGCUCCGCCUGGGGAGUACGCACGCAAGUGUGAAAC